rnacentral:lncRNA from 1 species
GCGGCUUGGGUUUGCGCCUUGCAGGCGGCGCGCGGACCUUGGGAAACCGGCUCUGAGCAUCGCUGUGAGGCAGCCAAGGACUGGAGGUUCCAUGAUUUGGGGGCGCCUCUGCCGCAGGCCCUUUCUACCUGAGUGUUCUCUCUUCUGCAACACCCGUUUUAACCCCUUUUAAAGGAAUUGGGGGCUAGCCAGACUAGACUAGGGGCGGCGAAACGCACUGAAGAGAGUUGGAUACAGAAUUUCUUGCAAACGAGGUCGAGUUGCGUCUGGGAUACGGUGUCAUGCCCCACCCCCGCCCCACGACCCUGCCGGCCCCACCUUUCUUUUGCUUCGCCUGCAGAAACCCGCACGGCCUUCAUACGUGCAUUUGAAAUUACCUAAGGGCGUAAGCAAUAUUUCCUCUGUCACGGAUUAAAACUUUCGAUGUAACGGUGUUAAAAAAAAAA